rnacentral:rRNA from 1 species
UGCUGUCGCUUUACAAGGGCUGAAUACCUGCAUUUCUGACUAGGUUAUCCACCUGAAGUUAAGCAGAUUUUGGCUGGCCAGUACUUGGAUGGAAGACCAACUAGGAAAGGUGGGCUGUAGCUGGAG